GGACUACCCGGGUAUCUAAUCCUGUUUGCUCCCCACGCUUUCGCGCUUAAGCGUCAGUUACGGGCCAAAAGGCCGCCUUCGCAACCGGUAUUCCUCUCGAGAUCUACGCAUUUUACCGCUACUCCGAGAAUUCUACCUUUCUCUCCCGCACUCUAGUUCGCCAGUUUCACCUGCAUUUACUCGGUUAAGCCGAGCCCUUUUACAGUUGACUUAACAAACCGCCGACACGCUCUUUACGCCCAGUUAUUCCGAAUAACGCUCGCACCCUUCGUAUUACCGCGGCUGCUGGCAC
rnacentral:rRNA from 1 species